UAUUUACUCUCUGGAAAGAACCCCCGCGGCGGGGAGCAGGAGGGGGAGGAGGGCAGGACACUCCCUGGGUUGUACACACAGCAGCUCAGGGUCCUCCAGGCCCUGAGGUCUGGGCUGCAGCUCCGCCCACUCAGCAGGCAAGGGUGAAGGAGGCCUCCAAGUCUUGGAAUCUUUGAAAAGGCUGCUCCUGGGAAAGCUUCUCCUCACUCUCACUGGGGCUCCCUCCCCUCCAGGCAGGAAUGGCCAGGCUGUGAUGCUCUCUGGCCUUUGUGAUGCAAUCUACCUGGGAUCCAACCCCAAAGAAGGCCGAGGAGUAGGGCAGGGGUCAUUGUCCCAACAGCUGGGAAACAGAAUCCAGAGUGGUUCAUUCAUAUAAAGAGAGACAGGGAUUCCCCGGGAGCAGAACCAGGAAUGCGAGAGCCCAGGAGAGCACCAGGAGGGUCUCCGUCCAAUUCCCGUGAGUCCAAGGGCUCUUCAAUUUUCCAUCCUGGGAGAUCUUCAAGACACGCAGGAACCCUCCCUGUUUACCAAACUGCUAAGGCUUCUUCAGAGUUUAAAAAAAAUCCCCAUCUCUGCCAAACCCUGAAGUUGCCUCAACACUUUCAAGAAGACCCAUUGUGGUCUUGCUGGAGUGUGGAAUUCAGGAUCAAGAUGCAAAAUUAUCAUUGUACAUGGAACCAUGUGAAUGUAGGAAUCCAAGUAAGACCCCAAAUGUAAAACCAAGGAGGAAGGAUAUUCUCAAGGCCCCUCUAGCCACAGAAGACAGAAUCUGCUUCUGUAAGUACAUCUUCCUGAAAAGACUUCCCAGUUCCAAAAUUUGCCACGUUUAUUCAUCUGACACAGGAUAUCCUCGUGACCCACAAGCCAAACAAAAGAGGUGCCGUGAUACCCACCAGCAGCCUACACCAUCGCCUGCAAACGUGCUGAAAGGUUUUAAAGCACGGCAGUAGUUCUGAAACAUCAACAACUCCUGGAUGGGUGGUUCCGAGACACUGACUGCUGACCCCACCCUGGAGUUUUCUGAUUCAGUAGGUCUCUGGGGUGCUGCUGCUUGGAGACCAUGUUCUAAAGCAAAGUGAACUAAAUAGAGACUUGAAAGCCAGUGCCGAAGCUAAACCAGACAGUUUUUCGGUCACGACAGCCACAGCGCAGAGACUACUGGUCAGUUUCAGUGAACAAGUUGUAUUUACAAAGUGACCUUCAGCAAGACGUUACAAAGAUCUGCAGGUACGUAAAGCAGAACAGAUUAUCUCUCAUCUAAAGGCAACGUGCUACUCAAAGGGUGAUGCACAAACCUAGGCAUCACCUAGAACGGGUUACAAAUGCAGCAUCUCAGGCCUUACUCCAAACCUUACUGGGUCAGAAAGUAUCUGAAUAGGAUCCCUGGAAUAUGAAAUGCACAUUAAAUCAGCCUUGACCAGUUCCCUCACUCACACCACCAUGACUGAGCACCUACUCUGCAUAAACCCUAGCAGUCAACUGCGCAGACAAGCCUUUACACUCCUGGAGCUUCCAUGGGGCAAAGGAUAAAACUCAAGCCCAGAGCUGUUGGACUAGGCAAGGUCACAGAGCCAGGCAGUGGUAGAGACAGGUUUAGAACCCAUGUCUCUUAAACCCUGUACAGUAGAAAUUAUACAGGCCACUGCCUCUAUCAAUAUCACAAACAUAAUUCCAAGCCAAGAGGAUACCAAAAAAUAAAUUACAAGUCAGGGGCACCUGGGUAGCUCAGUCGGUU